AUUCUUUUCUAAGUACUAGUGCCGCAGGAGUAAUUUAGUCUCCUGCUGCCCAAGUGCUUAUCAAAGUGU
rfam:Phlebotomus papatasi Contig90.19, whole genome shotgun sequence.